rnacentral:rRNA from 1 species
GAUGAACGCUGGCGGCGUGCCUAAUACAUGCAAGUCGAGCGAACAGACGAGGAGCUUGCUCCUCUGACGUUAGCGGCGGACGGGUGAGUAACACGUGGAUAACCUACCUAUAAGACUGGGAUAACUUCGGGAAACCGGAGCUAAUACCGGAUAAUAUAUUGAACCGCAUGGUUCAAUAGUGAAAGACGGUUUUGCUGUCACUUAUAGAUGGAUCCGCGCCGCAUUAGCUAGUUGGUAAGGUAACGGCUUACCAAGGCAACGAUGCGUAGCCGACCUGAGAGGGUGAUCGGCCACACUGGAACUGAGACACGGUCCAGACUCCUACGGGAGGCAGCAGUAGGGAAUCUUGCACAAUGGGCGAAAGCCUGACGGAGCAACGCCGCGUGAGUGAUGAAGGUCUUCGGAUCGUAAAACUCUGUUAUUAGGGAAGAACAAAUGUGUAAGUAACUAUGCACGUCUUGACGGUACCUAAUCAGAAAGCCACGGCUAACUACGUG